rnacentral:tRNA from 1 species
GCAGUGGUGGUUCAGUGAUAGAAUUCUCACCUUCCAUGUGGGAAUCCUGGGUUCAAUUCCCGGCCAACACA